rnacentral:rRNA from 1 species
UACAGAGGUGGCGAGCGUUACUCGGAUUUAUUGGGUGUAAAGGGCAAGUAGGCGUCUUGACAAGUUAGGGGUGAAAUCCUGCAGCUCAACUGCAGAACUGCUCUUAAAACUGUUGAGAUUGAGACUGGAAGAGGAAAGCGGAAUUCUCGGUGUAAGAGUGAAAUCUGUAGAUAUCGAGAGGAACACCAGUGGCGAAGGCGGCUUUCUGGUCCAGUACUGACGCUGAGUUGCGAAAGCUAGGGGAGCAAACAGGAUUAGAUACCCUGGUAGUCCUAGCCGUAAACUAUGAGCACUAGGUGUUGGGGGUUUACUCUCAGCGCCGCAAGUUAACACGUUAAGUGCUCCACCUGGGGACUACGACCGCAAGGUUAAA